GUUUCAACAAUAAUGACAAACAGACCCUGUAUCUAUUAUAGUUUCACUGGUGUUUACUGUAAAAAUAAUUUAGCUGGCAAACAUGAAAACAACCAGUGAUAAGCAAAAUCAAAAAGAAUAUUGCACAUAAUAAAACAGUAACAAAGAAAGAAUAGUAGCACUAUAGGUGGCCGCAAUUAACAUCAUCAACUCAAAGUUUGGGCUAUAACUGAACCAAAAGGUAACGCUAAAAUUGCCACAAGGAUUAAAGUUUUGGACUUUAGUCAUGUUCCCUUCUAUGAAACACGAAAGGUAUGAACUCAUAUGAGAUUAAGCCUAAAGGAUUAUUUUCCUUUUUCACACCAUGAUCUUCUGUCAUAUAAAUGUAUCAGCAUUUACAGAAUGCGACAAUGUGCAUAUAUAGCAUAUACGCUAAAGGGGGCAAGCCUAAAUAUUUUAAAUUCAAAAACAUAGUUGGAGUUGGACAUCUGACUGAAAUGAUAAGAGAACAGGCAUGCAAUGAGCUAAAAAGAUAAAAUCUUUACUCCACUAACCAUCAUUAUCUGUAACAGCGAUUUAUUCACCAUGACAUUAAAAAAUAAUAAUAAAAAAAAUAAAAAAAA
rnacentral:misc_RNA from 1 species